AAUAAGAGGUCCCGCCUGCCCUGUGACUAUAUGUUUAACGGCCGCGGUAUUUUGACCGUGCGAAGGUAGCGCAAUCACUUGUCUUUUAAAUGGAGACCUGUAUGAAUGGCAUAACGAGGGCUUGACUGUCUCCUUUUUCAGGUCAAUGAAGUUGAUCUCCCCGUGCAGAAGCGGGGAUGUAAACAUAAGACGAGAAGACCCUAUGGAGCUUUAGACACCAAGGCAGAUUAUGUUAAAGACCCCUGCUCAAAGGGCCAAACAGAAUAGACCCUGCCCUUAUGUCUUUGGUUGGGGCGACCGCGGGGAAAAACACAACCCCCAUGUGGACUGGGAACACCCGUCCUAGAACUAAGAGCUCCCGCUCUAGGUACCAGAAUUUCUGACCAAAUGGAUCCGGCAAAGCCGAUCAACGGACCGAGUUACCCUAGGGAUAACAGCGCAAUCCCCUUUUAGAGCCCAUAUCGACAAGGGGGUUUACGACCUCGAUGUUGGAUCAGGACAUCCUAAUGGUGCAGCCGCUAUUAAGGGUUCGUUUGUUCAACGAUUAAAGUCCU
rnacentral:rRNA from 1 species